rnacentral:rRNA from 1 species
CCCUUAGAUGUUCUGGGCCGCACACGCGCUACACUGAAGGAGGCAGCGUGUACUCCUGGAUCGAAAGAUUUGGGUAACCCGCGAAUCUCCUUCGUGCUAGGGAUUGAGGUUUGCAAUUAUCCUUCAUGAACGAGGAAUUCCCAGUAAGUGCAAGUCAUAAGCUUGCGCUGACUACGUCCCUGCCCUUUGUACACACCGCCCGUCGCUACUACCGAUUGAAUGAUUUAGUGAGGACUUCGGACUGGGACCGAUGCGGCUUUCGGGCUGCGUCGGUAUUCUGGAAAGAUGUGCAAACUGUAUCAUUUAGAGGAAGUAAAAGUCGUAACA